CUUAAACUGCAAUGGAAUUAUUCCCUGAGCGAUAGGUGAAAACAACUUUUCUAGAGUCAUGAUGUUCUCCAACCAUUAGUUGUACUGACGUAGAGUGAUUAGUAUCCUUCGACGAGUUGUUGGACUAAAUAGGUUAAGUCAUGUGAUGUGGUAAGUGUGAUCCCAUGGUUGAUUGAUUGACUGACUGAUUGAUUGUCGGUUUCUCCGAACUUCUUCAUGCCUGGGGGAAAACCCACGGAAUAAUUUCAGACCAUUUCAGCCCCAAAUGUUUAUGAAGAUAGAGAAGCCACAUUAACAUCGGUCAUUGCAAUGUAAAUAUUAAUGCUGAAACAAAUGCGUAACAAAAAGUGCAUUCCCUUGACCAAGAUAGAAUUCGUAAAUCGCACUCGACUUUCUAUUUGUACCGGCGAGUGUGCUGGAAUGCAGUGGUUGGAAUGCGAGAGACGGAUAUCUUGAUUUCAAACAGUCUGUCAUCUGAUCUGAGACUGUAAUCACACGACGCAUGCCACGAAUGAGCAAGAUUUUACCAUUCUAGCAAAAAUUGAUUGUGAGGAAAUAUCAAAGAUGAAUUCACUUUUCAGUCUUCAUUGUGGGUGCUAUAAUCUAGCUGAUCGCAGUUCCAAACAAAAGGCAGCUGAAGACGGUCGAGGACAAUGCAGAGGAGGUUGGACACGCGCCGAAUUGCAUUAUGGUAGAGGUAAUUAACCAAUCAGCAGCGUCUAUUUUCUUGCAAGUCGAUUUGGAAGGGAUCGUCGUUCGAGGGAUGAGGAGGAUUUCUUGAGGUGUUUUUUCGGCGUUAACGAGUUAAGUGAUCCAGUUGCUUGACGAAAAAGAAAGAGAUCAGAGUUCACACAACUGAUUUCCUUGUGGAUAUUAAUAACUGGUGUUUUAACCAGGAGCUGUGGAAUGAAAAGAGAUAGUCCAUCUUCAAUGUCUCUACUAUGUUGUAGCUUUGUGUAUGCUUGAUGAGUUUUCCUUUAUGAGGAGAAAAGUUCUAGUAUCAAUGAUUUACUUUCAUGUUUUGGAAACCUGUUCUCCAAAAUGUUAUAAUUUUAGCAUAUGAUUGUUUAAUGAUGCAUUUCUUGACUACCAGUUUUAGACUGUAAUAUAAUGUUGAUAAUAAAAUAAUUUCAAUUAAAGAUA